CCACUAUCAUAAAUUCAUCAUCGAUUCAUCGCAAAGCAAGAAGUCCAAAACAGCUAACAAUGGAAGCCGCGAGCUUGAAAGCGAGGAUAGUCUCUGAGCUCCAAGCCGUUAAGCGGAGAUCGGGCAAGACAUACGGUCAGAUUGCGGAAGAGACCGGCUUGACCAACGUCUACGUUGCUCAGCUCCUCCGCCGCCAAGCUCAGCUCAAGCCCUCCACCGCCCCUCUCCUCCGCGCCGCCCUCCCCGCUCUCACCGACGACCUCCUCAUCGAAAUGUUCCAACCUCCCCUUCGCUCUUACGACCCCAACUUAAUUCAGGAUCCUACUAUUUAUAGAUUGAAUGAAGCUGUUAUGCAUUUCGGGGAGAGCAUUAAAGAGAUCAUCAAUGAAGAUUUUGGCGAUGGCAUAAUGUCUGCCAUCGACUUCUACUGCUCAGUCGACAAAGUUAGAGGUGUAGAUGGAAAGGAUCGUGUUGUUUUGACCUUUGAUGGGAAGUAUCUUCCACACAGUGAGCAGGUCAGUAAUCCAUCUCCCUGAUUCUCAAAUGCAUGUAGAUACACUGCACAAACAACAUAACUUGAAAUAGCCAUGCCACACCAAAUAAGUUUGCGCAAAAUAUAUCUGAUUAGCGAGCAUAUGGUAUCAAGACUGAAAAGGCAAGAACAGCUAGAUGGCAAGCCAAAGUUAUCGUAAUUGUUUUAUCGUCCCAAGCUUUCUUGAUUACUCUUUGUCAAUAUGUAUUCGUACUUAAAAUCUAUGUUAUACUUGACAAAAUCAAUGGUAAUAAACUUGGUUUUGGUUUGUGCUUCA